rnacentral:rRNA from 1 species
GGUAACCCUGGUGGCGAGUGGCGAACGGGUGAGUAAUACAUCGGAACGUGUCCUGUAGUGGGGGAUAGCCCGGCGAAAGCCGGAUUAAUACCGCAUACGCUCUGCGGAGGAAAGCGGGGGAUCCUUCGGGACCUCGCGCUACAGGGGCGGCCGAUGGCAGAUUAGCUAGUUGGUGGGGUAAAGGCCUACCAAGGCGACGAUCUGUAGCUGGUCUGAGAGGACGACCAGCCACACUGGGACUGAGACACGGCCCAGACUCCUACGGGAGGCAGCAGUGGGGAAUUUUGGACAAUGGGUGAAAGCCUGAUCCAGCAAUGCCGCGUGUGUGAAGAAGGCCUUCGGGUUGUAAAGCACUUUUGUCCGGAAAGAAAACCUCGUGGUUAAUACCCGUGGGGGAUGACGGUACCGGAAGAAUAAGCACCGGCUAACUACGUGCCAGCCAGCCGCGGUAAUACGUAGGGUGCAAGCGUUAAUCGGAAUUACUGGGCG